CUAACGAGGAUUCCCCUAGUAACGGCGAGUGAAGCGGGAAGAGCUCAAAUUUGUAAUCUGGUGGCCUUUGGUCGCCCGAGUUGUAGUCUGGAGAAGCGUUUUCUGUGCCGGACCGUGUACAAGUCCCUUGGAACAGGGCGUCGUAGAGGGUGAGAAUCCCGUCUUUGACACGGACUGCCGGUGCUUUGUGAUGCGCUCUCAAAGAGUCGAGUUGUUUGGGAAUGCAGCUCAAAAUGGGUGGUAAAUUCCAUCUAAAGCUAAAUAUUGGCGAAAGACCGAUAGCGAACAAGUACCGUGAGGGAAAGAUGAAAAGCACUUUGGAAAGAGAGUUAAACAGUACGUGAAAUUGUUGAAAGGGAAACGCUUGAAGUCAGUCGCGUCUUCCGGGAUUCAGCUGUGUGAAAAAAAAAGCACAGUGUACUUCCCGGAGCGACGGGCCAGCAUCGAUUUCGACCGUCGGAGAAAGGCCUCGGGAACGUGGCACCCUUUGGGUGUGUUAUAGCCCUGGGUCGUAUGCGACGGUUGGGAUCGAGGACCGCAGCACGCCUCUUUGGCCGGGGUUCGCCCACGUAACGUGCUUAGGAUGCUGGCGUAAUGGCUUUAAGCGACCCGUCUUG
rnacentral:rRNA from 1 species